GUGAAGUGGGCUGACAUAUGCUUGCUGAAGGAUCGAGGUGGGUUGGGCAUCCCUGCGUCUCGCUGGAUGAACGUUGCGCUUAUGCUGCGUUGGGUUUGGCGGAUCUUGCGGGGAGAUGGGGGUUUAUGGCUCCAGUAGAUUGAUUCCAAGUACUUGCAGAGACAACCCCUCCUGGCUUGCUCUCACUCGGCUGGGUCCUAG
rnacentral:rRNA from 1 species